rnacentral:misc_RNA from 1 species
GAAAAAUUUUAUAAUUUAUUUGUUUUCUUAUUUCGAACCAAUUAUCACUGUGUAUGAAUACCUUGCAUCCUCAUGUGCUCAUACAUCACUUUCCCAUUUGUUUCAAAAAAAGAAAACAAAUAAAUUAUAAAAUUUUUCCCUCAAAUGGUUUUUAUUAUGUGGUACAGUCAAGCCUUAAUAAAUGAAACUUGCAAGGCUCAUGUCACGGUGUUUUACCGCUUGAGAGAUCCCAGCAUUAUAAGGCUGAUGGAGAUGAGCGGUCAACCACGCCUGGCAGCCAAUCGUUAAAGUAAUCUAGGCAGCCUGUCUCUACUUGGGAGAGGGCACCAAGGGGAGUUACAGUAAUAUAUCCGUCCCGAAGAAAUUUGUGAUCUGUAUCAUCAUCAUCAACUUCCUCUCCCUUUACUUCUCUCCUAAACCACAUAUGUUCUUGUGCUACAUUUGAUGCACCAGUUUCUGUUUGCACAGCUGAAUUUGUGUCCAUUGUCAUUGUUGAUAACAUUUUCCCUCCUUCUGUGCCAGAAGUAACUUGCUUCCACCCCAUCCUGAAUAUGCUUUUACCCUGCUUAGUCAGCUUAUAUCCCUUAUG